AUUGAACGCUGGCGGCAGGCCUAACACAUGCAAGUCGAGCGGAUGAAGGGAGCUUGCUCCUGGAUUCAGCGGCGGACGGGUGAGUAAUGCCUAGGAAUCUGCCUGGUAGUGGGGGAUAACGUCCGGAAACGGGCGCUAAUACCGCAUACGUCCUGAGGGAGAAAGUGGGGGAUCUUCGGACCUCACGCUAUCAGAUGAGCCUAGGUCGGAUUAGCUAGUUGGUGGGGUAAAGGCCUACCAAGGCGACGAUCCGUAACUGGUCUGAGAGGAUGAUCAGUCACUGUGGAACUGAGACACGGUCCAGACUCCUACGGGAGGCAGCAGUGGGGAAUAUUGGACGAUGGGCGGAAGCCUGAUCCAGCCAUGCCGCGUGUGUGAAGAAGGUCUUCGGAUUGUAAAGCACUUUAAGUUGGGAGGAAGGGCAGUAAGUUAAUACCUUGCUGUUUUGACGUUACCAACAGAAUAAGCACCGGCUAACUUCGUG
rnacentral:rRNA from 1 species